rnacentral:rRNA from 1 species
CGAACGUUAGCGGCGCGCUUAACACAUGCAAGUCGCACGAGAAAGGGCUUCGGCCCCGGUACAGUGGCGCACGGGUGAGUAACACGUGGAUAACCUUCCCUUUGGCGUGGGAUAACCUUCCGAAAGGAGGGCUAAUACCGCAUGAGACCACGAUCUCGAGAGAGGUUGAGGUAAAAGCAGGCCUCUGCAUGCAAGCUUGCACCAGAGGAUGGGUCCGCGUCCCAUCAGCUAGUUGGUAGGGUAAUGGCCUACCAAGGCGAAGACGGGUAGCUGGUCUGAGAGGAUGAUCAGCCACACUGGAACUGAGACACGGUCCAGACUCCUACGGGAGGCAGCAGUGGGGAAUCUUGCGCAAUGGGCGAAAGCCUGACGCAGCGACGCCGCGUGAGUGAUGAAGGCCUCGGGUUGUAAAGCUCUGUGGGAGAGACGAAUAAGUUUGGCUAAGUAUCCAAAGCGAUGACGGUAUCUCCUUAGCAAGCA